AUUGAACGCUGGCGGCAGGCCUAACACAUGCAAGUCGAGCGGAGCGGCGGGCGGGUGAGGAAUGCCUAGGAGGUUGCCUGGUAGUGGGGGAGAAAGUCCGGAAACGGGCGCUAUUACCGCACACUAUCAGAUGAGUAUACGUGGGAUUAGCUAGUGGGUGGGGUAAGGGCUUACCCAGGCGACGAUCCGUACCUGGUCUGAGAGGAUGAUCAGCCACACUGGAACUGAGACACGGCCCAGACUCCUACGGGAGGCAGCAGUGGGGAAUAUUGGACAAUGGGCGAAAGCCUGAUGCAGCCAUGCCGCGUGUAUGAAGAAGGCCUUCGGGUUGUAAAGCACUUUCAGUUGGGAGGCGUUACCAACAGAAGAAGCACCGGCUAACUACGUGCCAGCAGCCGCGGUAAUAC
rnacentral:rRNA from 1 species